rnacentral:lncRNA from 1 species
AUGGCGUCUGACCUCGGAGCUGGGGCUCUUCAGCCACAGGAGCUUGGCCAGGUCGUCUCCGGCCGUGUUGUUCACCGCGUGCUCAAACACCUCCACCUUCUCCAUCAGCGUCAGGUGAUCGUAGUCUGGAGCCAUCUUCAGCAUGAUGCGGUGCUCGAUGUUCAGCAGGAUCUUCUUCUUCUCCCGGUAGUCUCGGAUGAGAGCGUGGAGGGUGUCGCAGUGGGGAACCCAGCCGAUCAGACCCGAGUUGGUGGACAGCGGGAUGACGGCGUAGCGCUGGAUGCUGAGGGACGCAGCAGAGACAAAAGAGCGACACACCUCAGCAAUACCCAGCAUGCACUGCACACCUUUGAACCAAACAGAAGUCUUUGCGUUUGUUUUUCUGGCGGCGCGUACCUGAGGUUCUUGCGCAGGGAUGCGGGGUCGUUGGCCAGCAGCGUGUUGACCAGACCAAAGAGCUGCAUGACUCUCUCGUCCUGCCUCAGGUCCUCGUUGACCUUCUUCUGGCCCGGCGACGGAACCGGACUCUGGUCGGUGCUGUCCACCUCGCUGUCACUGUUGCUGGCUUCACUGUUGCCACUGGCGCCGCUGGCGUGUCGCAGUUUCUUCUUCUCGUCCCGCGUCUGGUUCUGGUGUUUGUAGUGCAGCACCGCCUCAAAGUUCAUCACAGCCCAGGCGUGCCAAGCCUGCAGAGAAGCGCCAGCGUGAGAGCCUUUCAGACGGCGAGCGAUUGAAAGUGACAUUUCACCCUGAUGUCAUUUUCCAGCUUCUUUCAUGCAGAUGUUUUCGUGGUGGCGGUUACUUCCACUAAGCU